GGCUGGGUGCCUGGUCCAGCUAGGUUUAACCCUUUUUUCUAUAAACAUAGCAGUUUCAGAGAAACUGCUAUGUUUAUAAUAGGGUUAAUCCAGCCUCUAGUGGCUGUCUCAUUGACAGGCGCUUCCGCGCUUCUCACUGUGAAAAUCUCAGUGAGAAGACGCCAGCGUCCAUAGGAAAGCAUUGUGAAUGCUUUCCUAUGAGACUGGCUGAAUGCGCGCGCAGCUCUUGCCGCGCAUGCGCAUUCAGCCGAGGAGGCGGAGAGGAGGAGGAGAGUCCCCCGCCCGGCGCUGGAGAAAGAGGUAAGUUUAACCCCUUCCUCCCCCUAGAGCCCGGCGGGAGGGGGA